GGGAACUUAGCAUAAUUGGUAAUGUACUAGAUUGUCAUUUUAGUGGAUGAUGGUUCGAACCCAUUAGUUCUCG
rnacentral:tRNA from 1 species